GUAUGGCAGAAUGCCAUGAGCUCAGUCAGGCGUGCGCGAGAGUUAGCUGCCUUCCUUUUCCUUUCUAAAGACAAAGGAAAUCUCCGGUGAAACAUUAUUGAAGAUUUAUGUUAAAAACAUCCUAAAGAUUGAUUCUAUACAUCGUUUGACAUGUUUCUACGAACAUAAAUGAUGGACUUUAUCGAACAAAACAAACAUUUAUUGUGGAACUGGGAUUCCUGGGAGUACAUUCUGAUGAAAAUCAUCAAAGACUACCGAAAUGUUCAUGUCCCGCUCUCUCUGAGUGUUUCCUGGUUAGCUAGCUGUGACACUGAUCUCAGACUCUGAUGUUCCACUCCACUCUGUCCAUUUCUCUCUCUGUCAGUCAGCUAUGUCUAAUAUCGUCAUGGAGACUCUCCUGUCCUGGGACCUGGUGUCUAUGGUCAUCAUGUUGUUCCUUGUCUCUACAGAGUCAGCAGGUGACUCAACAAAAUAUCAGAAAAAUAAAUCAGCUUCUUUGGGAGAAAUUGUUACUUUGGUUUGCAAUAACUCAGAGACGGAUGCAUCAUACAUCUGGAAGAAGGACACAGUUCUUAUUUUCUCUCAUAGUGACACACUGAAUAAAUCUGAAAGAAAAUUCACCUCUGACAGGAUGAGUGUUGAUCCACCUACAAAGCUGACUAUCUUUAAUGUAGAGUUAAAUGACACCGGGAGCUACAGCUGUCAAAUAACAGAUGUUCAAAGUGGUGUACGGACAAUGGAGUGGAAUUUGACCAUCACUAAUAACCUCACAGAUCAUGCUGAACAUAACCUACGGAGGUUAUUGCUCUUCACAAUUCCAUCUGCUAUUGGAGGAGUGGUUCUCUGCAUUAACAUCUGUUGUAUGGUCUGGCUAUGUAGGAAACGAAAACAGGAACAGACAAGUCAUUGUGAUAAGCGCAAAGAGCGCUGCCAGAUCUGCCAGUCAACCAGACUCUUCCAGAUCUGCCAGUCAACCAGACUCUUCCAGAUCUGCCAGUCAGC
ensembl:lncRNA